rnacentral:rRNA from 1 species
UACAGAGGGGGCAAGCGUUGUUCGGAAUUACUGGGCGUAAAGGGCGCGUAGGCGGCCUGCUAAGUCGAACGUGAAAUCCCUGGGCUCAACCCAGGAACUGCGUCCGAUACUGGUUGGCUUGAAUCCGGGAGAGGGAUGUGGAAUUCCAGGUGUAGCGGUGAAAUGCGUAGAUAUCUGGAGGAACACCGGGUGGCGAAGGCGACAUCCUGGACCGGCAUUGACGCUGAGGCGCGAAA